UUGUUGGAGAGUUUGAUCCUGGCUCAGGACGAACGCUGGCGGCGUGCUUAACACAUGCAAGUCGAACGCUGAAGCACCUUCGGGUGUGGAUGAGUGGCGAACGGG
rnacentral:rRNA from 1 species